UAUUGUUGCAUCUGCCUCGGCCGG
rnacentral:misc_RNA from 1 species